AGCAGCCGCGGUAAUUCCAGCUCCAAUAGCGUAUAUUAAAGUUGUUGCAGUUAAAAAGCUCGUAGUUGAAUUUCGGGGUCAAUAAGUUGGUCAUGCCAAUGGUAUGCACUGGCUUUAUUGAUUCCUACCUCUUGACGAACUGUGAUGCCAUUAAUUUGGUGUUGCAAGGAAUCAGGACUGUUACCUUGAAAAAAUUAGAGUGUUUAAAGCAAGCUUACGCUUGAAUACAUUAGCAUGGAAUAAUGAAAUAGGACGUUUGAUCCUAUUUUGUUGGUUUCUAGGAUCGACGUAAUGAUUAAUAGGGAUAGUUGGGGGCAUUAGUAUUCAAUUGUCAGAGGUGAAAUUCUUGGAUUUAUUGAAGACUAACUACUGCGAAAGCAUUUGCCAAGGAUGUUUUCAUUAAUCAAGAACGAAAGUUAGGGGAUCGAAGACGAUCAGAUACCGUCGUAGUCUUAACCAUAAACUAUGCC
rnacentral:rRNA from 1 species